rnacentral:rRNA from 1 species
UACGUAGGGGGCUAGCGUUGUCCGGAAUCAUUGGGCGUAAAGAGCGUGUAGGCGGCCCGGUAAGUCCGCUGUGAAAGUCGGGGGCUCAACCCUCGGAUGCCGGUGGAUACUGUCGGGCUCGAGUACGGAAGAGGCGAGUGGAAUUCCUGGUGUAGCGGUGAAAUGCGUAGAUAUCGGGAGGAACACCAGUGGCGAAGGCGACUUCCUGGCCUGUUCUUGACGCUGAGGCGCGAAAGCUAGGGGAGCAAACGGG